GGUAGUGUGGCCGAGAGGUCCAAGGCGCUGGAUUAAGGCUCCAGUCUCUACGGGGGCGUGGGUUCGAAUCCCACCACUGCCA
rfam:Takifugu rubripes chromosome, Chr_2